AGUGAACGCUGGCGGUAGGCCUAACACAUGCAAGUCGAACGGCAGCACAGUAAGAGCUUGCUCUUACGGGUGGCGAGUGGCGGACGGGUGAGGAGUACAUCGGAAUCUACUUUUUCGUGGGGGAUAACGUAGGGAAACUUACGCUAAUACCGCAUACGACCUACGGGUGAAAGCAGGGGAUCUUCGGACCUUGCGCGUUUGAAUGAGCUGAUGUCGGAUUAGCUAGUUGGCGGGGUAAAGGCCCACCAAGGCGACGAUCCGUAGCUGACCUGAGAGGAUGAUCAGCCACACUGGAACUGAGACACGGUCCAGACUCCUACGGGAGGCAGCAGUAGGGAAUAUUGCGCAAUGGGCGAAAGCCUGAUCGAGCAACACCGCGUGAGUGAAGAAGGCCUUCGGGUCGUAAAGCCCUUUUAUUGGGAAAGAAAAGCAGUAUGUUUAUACCUGGCUGUUUUGACGGUACCCAAACAAUAAGCACCGGCUAACUACGUG
rnacentral:rRNA from 1 species